rnacentral:lncRNA from 1 species
AUUCUCUACCAUGGUUGUUGCUCCUCCUUGGUCUUUUCAUAGGGUCAGGAACACUGGGAGAAGAUACAGUGGGGAAGAUAUCCUUGGGGAGUUGGCCACUUGGCCCCUGGAGGUCCCAGCAGAGCAAGAGGUAGAAAGUGUUACAUGGAGCUCUUGAGAGCGUGUUGCUGUUUUACAACAAGGAUGAACAGACAAACCAGUUCUGGUUUCUGAGACUCAGGGACCCUACAGUGGAUGACUGAACAUUCCCCACCACAGCUACUCUCUUCAGAUCAGCCCCCUGAGGCUGCAGGACUAUAAGCCUAUAAGCCUGGGUAACUCUGCAUACUUCCUCAAUCAUUAUCACCAGGGAUUUCACCCUGCUUGUCUAUGAGAUGCUGUAGGAGUUGAACAUCUUUGCCAGCUCCCAGAUCAUGAAGGAUGGGACCUGCUUCAUCACCCUGGCCUGCUCCCUGGAACAGGCUGGAGAGAAUGUGCAGAACAGCUGGGAGCCUCCUAGUCAUGGGGCAGUUGUGUCCCAUGGGGGGACCACUCUCAGUGUCCCCUGGAUAUCUGGGGAAAGUGAGAGCUAUCACUGCACUGCCAGGAAUCCCACCAGCCAGAGCUCCAGCUCUGUCCUUACCAGACCCCUUUGCUCAGAUACAAUGAAGAAGAGGUCCAGAUAAAUUUCUACCCCUCAUGUAAAUCACUGUUACAAUCAUCACAACCUGCACCUGACUAGCUUUUUGGCCAUUUCAUCUUCCAGUCAGCCCUGGGAAAUGACUUUGGGAGAGUUCUGUAUUUUGUUGUACAAAGACAACAUUGAAUGUGUUCUAUUAUGGGCUUUUUGUGUCUGUGCUCUCCACUGAACUGUGAGAAAAACACAUUCUUACUGUUCUCUGCAUCUCUAAUACACAACGAGUAAUAGGUGUCAAAAAAUGUGGGUCUGACAAGUAUUUAAAAAGCAUCUGCGCUGGGUGUUGUGGGACACAUGCAGACAUGAUAAUUGGCUGUAGACGUUCACAGUCUCCCUCUCUCUACGGGGCCUGAUGGACAUUUCAGUUCCGCCCCCACAUUCGGCUACCUGAAGGGGCCUCCAGCCCAGCCAUGCCUCUGACUUGUCUUCCUUCAAAAUCAUUUUCCCUGUUUCUCUGUCUUCCUGUCUUCCUUUUCUCCCAAUUACUAACUUGUGGUCAUUGUUCAUUCAGCCUCCUUUGUACCCCACUCCCUGAGGAAAGAAUUUCUUCCUUUUUUGAUUCUGGGAGUUUUGGGGAUUGAAUAGAUUUCACCUGGACAUGGGGAGAAACCAAGAAGAGAAGUACGAGAUGGCGGCCAUCCUGUGAGACACAGAGUUAAAGAAGUUCGCAUGUGGAGUGCUGCCUGAGGCCAGCAUUUCCUGGUGUGAGAGAAGGACAUUGACACUGAUUAAGGCAUAAACCCUAUUUCAUUUACAAACUGAGUUCAAAAUUAUCAGGAAACUGCUAUGUGUCUUCUGUUUAAAAUAAUCUGUUUAUGUUUUAUUGAAGUGUGUUUUUAAGUGUUCAGAAAGAAAAAGGAGCUUAUUUAUUUAAGAAAAAUUGAAUGGAACAUAAAAACAUUGUUAUUGUCACACAUAUAUAUUAUUAAGUUUUUGUUAAUGUUUAAAUAACUAGAUUCAGCCCAGCUUCAGCUUGAAUGUCAUCUCCUUGGAGCAGCCUUUGGCCACUAUACUUAAGUAGAUCUUUCCUCUCAUUCAUAAUCAAUGUAUGUUUAAAAAAAUAAUCUGGAGUCUGUUAGGCUGAGACGGCCCUAGCAAUCUGGGAUUCUACACAAGCAAACAGAAAACCAACUCAGAAUGACUUAACCAGUCGGAAACCACCAGGUAAUCUCUAAAUGGGGAAUUCCAUUUAAGCCAUCAAAUAUUUUCUUUUCUUCUUUUUAUUUUGCAUAGAGACAGGAUCUAACUCUGUUGCUCAGGCUGGUCUCAAACUCCUGGCCUCAAGUGAUCUUCUCACCUUGGCCUCCCAAAGUGCGGAGAUUACAGGCAUAGACCACCAUGCCUGGCACACUUAUUUGUUGGUUUACUUAUUUAUUGUUUAUUUCCCUCACAAGAUAUUCAGCUCUAUGAGGAUAAGAACUAUUUCUAUAUAUAUUUUUUCAAAACUAAAAACCCAAAGGGUAAUAGUGUUUGGCUUAUGAUAGAUACUUCAACAUUUACUGAAUGAAUGAAAGAAUGAAUUGGAGUUGAGAAUAUUUUUUCUUAAGAUUUGAAGACUAUUAGGAGGUUUUACAAGGAUCUGGGGCCUACACCAUUGUCUGUUUUCUCUUUCUGCUUUUGAUGGAGAGAAGCAGCAAAUUAAAUCUUUAUCCUAAAAGUUUCCUAGAAUGCUCAACAGUUAGCAAAAGAAAAAGUUAAAAUAAAAGAAACAUUUAUGUUUUGUUUUGACAGAAAGCUGCUCUGCAGUGCUAGAUACGUUAAUCUAGAAUUUGAACCAUAUACAAAUAACUGAACCAAAAGCAAAAUUUAGGUGGGAAACUUUGAGCUUCUCUUUCUUUUUCUUACUCUCAGUUGAUCAGCUCAUUUCCUAGUUCAUUCACAGAGAGGAUUGGCAAAUAUCACCCAUUACACACAAAGCUUCCAAUCAAGUAGUUAAUGACUUAUUUGGAAAUAUAAGAGGGCAGACAGGAUCACAAGAUAUUUGGGGAAGGCCUCUAACAUGAAAGACAAUCUCCAAACCAAAUGAAUCAGGGGGAAAAAAGAAACUUGGAAGAAAAGAGAUAAUACAGGGAGCAGGAGAAAAUUAAAUAAAAUCCCUCAAACAAUAUUCUUAGAGACAUAUAAAAAGAUUUUCACUUAAAAACAGAAACAGGGUGCCAGCCUAAGAAAAACUGAAAAGUCCAAGAGUAAGAAAGAGCCCUAGUAACAAUAAAUACAUAAAUAAAAAGCAGAAAACUUCUAAAAUUCAAUGGAAGUGUUGGAAAAUCAAAUGAAGAAACUCUCUCAGAAAGUAGAACUAAAGACAAACAGAUGAAAAUAAAAGAGAAAAGAUAAGGCCAUUAAAGAAUCAGCCCAGGAACUCCAACCCCUGGAUAACACAGUUCCAGAAAGGGACAUGUCUUAGUCUAUUUUGUGCUGCCAUGGCAGAAUCCCACAGAUCGGAUAAUUUAUAAACAGUAGAAUUUUAUUUGUCUCAUGAUUCUGGAGACUGGGAAGUCCAAGAUCAAGGGGCUGCAUCUGGUGAGGACCUUUUUGCUGCAUCAUAACAUGGUGGAAGGCAUAACAUGAUCAGAAAGUGAGUGUGUGUGUGUGUGUGUGUGUGUGUGUUUGUGUGUGUGAGAGAGAGAGAGGGGAGGGGGCUGGACCCAUCCUUCGAUUAGGAACUCACUCCCCCAAUAACUAACCCACUCCCAAGAUAAUGGCAUUAACCAAUUCAUGAGGGCUCUUAAAAUUCCCACCUCUCAACUCUGUUGUACUGGGGAUUAAUAGAGGCAGCAGGACCAGAGCACCCAGUGAAAGACAUUAUCAACUAUAGGAAAAACAAAGAAUGGUUAGGAAGGAAAUUGAAUACUCUACAUGGCUCGAAUGUGAAUACUUAUUGUCAUAAAUGUUAAAUACAGUUUAGCAAAAAGCUAUGUUACAACAUACUCUGGCGGGAUGGGCAGAAAGGCCUUUGUGUUGCUGAGUGGCUAAAGAGUGUGGAGGACAGUGGAUGAGAGAGCCAAAUACCUAUCUCCAUAGCAGGAAGUCAAUAACUAAUGUCUAAAAUCAAGAAAGGACAGAACAAAUAUAUCAUUUCUAAAUAUCAAGGAAGUAUCAUGAGAAAAAACAAAUAAUUGACAGUGGUUGCCAGCACAACAGUUGCCAGAACAGCAGUUCUGGGUGUAGUGUGGCAGAAGACUGCUGCUUUUUUUUUUUUCAAAAUUUAUUAUGUCUUAUGCUAUUAGUUGAAUUUUAUAACUAUAUAUAUGUAGUAUUUUGAAAAAAAUUAAAAUAUUAGAAAGCACAUGCACCAAGAGAUGAAGAACAAUAACCAAAAAGAGAACUCAAAGGUCUAGGAACUUGACUGGGUGGAAAUGGGAGGAUUUUAAUGGGCCACGGGGUUCUACAGGAAGAGUGAAUGGUUUAAACAAAGAGGCAGAGACUAAUCAGUCAAAUUUUAGUUGAAACAAAAUUAGAGUUGAAUAUCUUUUCUCCAAAUCUAGGUCCAAUUAUACAUUCAACAAAAUUCAACAUUACUGACUAGUUAAUAUUUAUGCUUAUUUACAGAUAUAACAAAAUUUCAUAGCUAGGGAAGCAGUUCUGGGGCUGUCAGUGAUCUUGCUUGUUAUUCCAGACAACUGUCAUUCAGGGACUCCAGGUAGCAUGAUCCUGAGAGCAAAUGCACCAUUGUUAAAGGCAUAGACGUAUAAAUACAAACCUCUGCCACAGAGCACUAUUCACUCUUUGCGUCUGAAGAGAACCAGAACCCCUUAACUCUUGGGCGGCAGCCUGCCGUCUGAAUGUGAAGGAGAAGGAAGAAUUAGUACAAUGCCUGUUUUUGAGCUCUUCAAGUCACCAGCAUUUUGUAGGAGUGGAAUGCUUCAUCUCCUGGCCCCUAACUUCGGGGUAGCAAAAUGAGAAGCUAAUGCCUGCUGGAAAGGGUCCCAAGAUAGAGAAGCUAAUGCCUGCUGGAAAAGGUCCCAAGAUACUGAAAGCUCUGAGAUUGCACUAGAAGAGAAGAGCUCAAAUCCUGCCACUUACCCACAAAAAGCCAGGGAAGUGAGUGUCUACUGGAAAUUGUUUUAGGUGUGAAGUAUGAACUGUAUGUAUCUGAAGGCUUCCUGCCUUGGUGCUGCCAGAUGCCCUUGCUGUGUGACAGGAGGAGGUGAGAACAGGUUGAAAGAGGAGGAAACGACUAAUGACCCUUAGGAGCAGAUCGAUUACCACCCUAUGAAAGAGUAAGUUGACAGUUCAGACUAUGCAAAAACAAAUUGUUGGAAAAGCCCCCUUCAUUUUUCUUAGCCGAAAAGUAAACAGAUUGCUACAAUCUGGCAUCUCUGUAGUUUUACCCACUCUCUCCACACCCCAAAGUACAGCCAUUAAAGCCCCACGGUCACUACACAUGUCUCUGUGUUAUGACCUUGCUUUUCUUUCUCCUCGAGGGGACUCAUUGACCUUUCUCCAUCUGGCUCAAUCUGUGUCAAGUUGCUUCUUGACCCAUUUGUUUUUCCAUCGGUUGUGAGCUCUUUGAAGUUAGGGGUCAUGCUUUAUCCAUCCCUGCUUCUUGGCCAUAGCACAUAGUUGGUGCUCACUAAAUACUUGCUGAAACACUUGUCAACUAAAGAAAAGCCAAGUUUUUAAAGAAUUAAAGUGAGUUUUAUUUAGUCUUACUGAGGUUGGCAACCCAGGAGAGUCUUUCGGAGAGUUUCUGUUAGACUGCUCCAAAGCAGUGUUUCAGCCUACAGCUUAUACAUAAGGUGACAGUCAUUCUGCCUGUGCUCAAAAGUUAUGUAAGAGCAAAAUUUCACCAAAGUUUGGGUGCAAGGGUACAUCUAGUUAUAGAUUACAGAGGCAUAAUGAUUAAUCCUGUCAACCAUUAUCUUAUGUACAGCAAAAAGACAAAGGCCAGGAUCAUUGAAUUUAUCUUUUCUAAAAAUGCAGUGAUUUAGGUAAGAGAUGUGGUAACCUGGGCUCCAUCCUUCUUAUCAUCUUCAGGGCAUCCUUCCGAAGGGCUGUCCUCAGUCACUGAGUCAGGGGCUUUGUGAAAUUCUGCUGGCAGCUGAAUGAGCAAACAUGGCCUCUUAUGUUUGCUACUUUGUCUUACAGAGUAAGUGAAUGUAAAACAAAAACAAAAACAGAAUGAAUGAAUGAAAGUCUCUGUGAGAGAAGCAACCUAUCCAUUGCUGUUUGCCUUUCCCACAGUUCUGGGUUUGGCUAGGGAGAGUUCACAUCCCUGCUGAUGUUUAUUUUAAAUUUCGAAGCAAUAAGGAAAUUGAAAAAUGGACACAAAAUUCAGGGGUAUCUAUUUCCUUUCUAUUCAUACAGCCUUAUAUUUUGCCUUCUAAGCUAUUCUUUUCCUUGUAUUCUUUUUAGACUCUCAUUCAGAUUAUGUUACCUCAAUAUUCUUCCCUUAGAAGACUUUAAGAAGCAGAUUCCAUUCAACAGUUUUACUCUACAGAAAUACUGUGUGUAAGGCCGGGUGCGGUGGCUCAUGCCUGUAAUCCCAGCACUUUGGGAGGCUGAGGCAGGUGGAUCCCCUGAGGUCAGAAGUUUGAGACCAGCUGGCCAACAUGGUGAAAUCCCAUUUCUACUAAAAAUACAAAAUUUAGCUGGGUGUAGUGGUGCACACCUGUAAUCCCAGCUCCUCAGCUACUCAGGAGGCUAAGGGAGGAGAAUUGCUUGAACCUAGGAGAUGAAGGUUGCAGUGAGCCAAGAUUGCACCACUGCACUCCUGCCUGGGCAACAGAGUGAGACUCCAUCUCAAAAAAAAAAAAAAAAGAAGAAGAAGAAGAAGAGGAAAUACUGUGUGUUUUCCUCAGUGUUCAUGAAGCUUAAUGUGCAGGUAUUUUCAUAAGGUUCUAUAUUUUAUUGAAAAACAGACAACAAAACAAGAAACAGACUAGUAAAAUUGCUGAAUAUGUGCAUGGUUUGCCAGCUGGGCCAAGAGGAGGCAGCAGUGAGCUAACCCAGGGCUUGCUGUGUGGCUUGGAGGAUCCUGUCACCAUCAGCCUGCAUUGUGACCUUGCUUUCAUUUUCUCUCUCUGAGAUGAGGGAGUUAGACUACAUGAUCCUUAGAGUCUCUUCCAGCUCCAAAAUUCUCUGUGUAAGUUUUAAAUAGAUGUUUGGGACUGAUUUAGGUCUGGGAAGAGAAAAGUGAAGGAAACAGACAAAAAUUCCCUCCGUUUAUGAAGCUUACAUUCCCAUGGGGCCUUCCAGACCCUACGGUUGUCAUAGUGGCGAGGAGGCUGCCUGGAUUGGAGGGUAUGAGGCUGGGUAGGAAGUCAGACCAGGGCUUGACCAGUAGGCAUCAGACAGAUCCAGGGACCAGGCAAAGCAGGAAAUGAAUGAAAUUCACUGGGUCCAAGUGAGAUGGGAGCAGGGAACAGGCUCUCCACAGAGCCAAGCAAUCAGAGGGAUUGUGCUAGGUCCCUAACUGACCAGGAGGAGACAGGCAGAGUUGUACCCACAGGACAGUUGGGCCUGCAGAACCUCCAGAACCAGAAAGUCCGUUUAGCAGCCUGACUCAGCAAGGCUUGCUUCUGCUCCUGGGGAGAUGCACAGGUCCCAGCAUGCAAGUGACUGGGAGGGAACAUGGAGAACACAGCAAAGAGGAGGAGCUAGAAAGAGCACCGGAGGAGUGAGGGGAGGAACAGCUCAGAGCCUUAUAGCUGACAAGCCUUCUGUAAGGGUGGCGUGAAUGAGUGAAUGACACAGAGGGGAGUGUUUGCUACUUUGCUUGAUCUGUGAGCACUGGUCAGCUGCCUCUUAUUAUAUGCCUCAACUUUAUAAUGAUAUGAUUAACUGCUAUUCUCAGGUCUUCAGUUACUCUUUAUACUUAAAGUUCUAGAGGCUCAGUUCUGAAUGGAAUCUAUAUAAUUAGCCAGUAGUCUCUUUAUGAUGAGGUAACUUCUGUCGAAGGACUGUGAUGUUAUACUCUGCUGAACACUUUACGUGUAUGAUUAUCUUUACCUUUAAUCUCACUACAAUCCUAUGAGGUAGAAAGUAUCUUUCACAUUUUAUAGAAGAGAAAACUGAGGUUCCAAGAAACUAAGCAUUUUGCUCAUGGUCAUAGGACUAAGAGAAGAUACAUGACGUCCAGAGUUGCUUUUCUCUUUCUCUCUCUCUUUCUCUAUCUCUUUCUCUCUCUCUCUCUCUCUCUCUCUCUCUCUCUCCCCCCUCCCCUCUCUGUAUCUCUUCCUCUCUCCUCUCCAAGUUUUCAGUGUGGUGAAAGUAAUGCAGAUUAGUGACUAACCACUGUGGGUAGCAUGGGUUUUUUCUUCUUUUUCCCCUUUUUAAUUACACAUCCUUUCCUUUCGUUUUCCUGGUGCUCUAAGCCAGCUCACCCCUGGUUUUUUAUUCUGCCUUGUUUGGGAUGGAGGUGGUAUGCAUGGAAGAGCAAAAGCAAAAACUUUAGGUAGCCUCAGCCCUAAAGUAGAGCCAGGAUCCACACCAAUGUCUCCUCUUAACUGCCUCAACCACUUGCCUUGCUGUCUGCCCAUCUUUGAAGUGGAGAUCUUAGUGGUUAGCCUCUGGGCCUCACCUUCAUCUCUCCCUGUCCUCAUCUUGUUUGCUUUCUUCCCAGACUAACUCAGCUCCAGGAUUGUCCCUUCUGGAAGCUAUCCCAUGCGGCUGUCCCUGCCUUAUACAGGAUCUACCUUGGCAGAGGGAAAACAACUCUUGGUCCUUGUCAUGGUAAAUUUUAUGUGUCAACUUGACUGGGCUAAGGGAUGCUCAGAUACCAGAUAAAAUAUUGUUGCUGGGUGUUUUCAGAGGUCAUCAGCAUUGGAAUCAGUAGAUGAAGUAAAGAAGAUUGCCCUCACCAAUGAGGGCAGGCAUCACACAUCUAUCGAGGACCUGAAUAGAACAAAAACGCAGAGAGGAGGGAUAAGGAAGGACUUGUUAAAGAUUACAAAAUUAUAGCUAGAUAGGAGGAAUAAGAGGAAUAAGUUAUAGUGUUCUAUACCACUCUAGGAUGACUACAGUUAACAAUAAUGUACAGUUUUAGAUAACUAGAAGGAGGACAUUGAAUGUUCCCAACACAAAGAAAUGAUAAAUGUUUGAGAUGACAAGUAUGUUAAUUACCCUUAUGUUAUCACUACAAAUUAUAUGGCUCUAAACAUCACUAUGUACUCCAAGAAUAUGUACAAUUAUCAUUUGUCAAUUAAAAAUAUAUACAUACCAUGGAAUACUAUGCAGCUAUAAAAAAGAAUGGGAUCAUGUUUUCUGCGGGAACAUGGAUGGUGCUGGAGGCCAUUAUCCUUAGCAAACUAACACAGGAACAGAAAACCAAAUACUGCAUGUUCUCACUUAUAAGUGGAAGCUAAGUGAUAACUCAUGGACACAAAGAAGGGAACAACAGACACUGGGGCCUACUUGAGGGUGGAGGGUGGGAAGAGGGAGAGGAGCAGAAAAAAUAAUGAUUGAAUAGUAGGCUUAGUAUCCGGGAGAUGAAAUAAUCUACCUGACAAAUCCCCAUGACACGAGUUUACCUACAUAACACAUCUGCGUAUAUACCCCUGAACCUAAAAUAAAAAUUAAAAAAUAAAAUAAAAACAGAAAGGUGAAGGAUGGAAGGAAAUUAGUUUCUUUGCUUGAGUUGAGACAUCCAUCUUCUCCUCCCCUCAG